AGGGUCAUAUCAUGUUUAAACACUGGUUCUCAUAUGAUCACUGGAGUUAAGAAAUGUUGAGUCUAGUCAGUAUCUAGAUGGGUGACCACGUGGAAAUAGCAGGUGCAGUAAG